UACAGAGGUGACAAACGUUGUCCGGAAUUAUUGGGCGUAAAGGGUGCGUAGGCGGUCCGCUAAGUUGGAUGUGAAAACUCUGGGCUUAACCCAGAGCCUGCAUUCAAAACUGACGGGCUAGAGUUCUGGAGGGGGUAGCGGAAUUCCUGGUGUAGCGGUGAAAUGCGUAGAUAUCAGGAGGAACACCGGUGGCGAAGGCGGCUACCUGGACAGAAACUGACGCUGAGGCACGAAAGCUAGGGGAGCAAACAGG
rnacentral:rRNA from 1 species